GGGAGCUAGUGAAGCUUCAUCUGUUCUUACGGCCGCUUCCCCGUUGCUCACGUGACCACCAGAGCGCCACUCAGGUCAGAUUAGUGCCGGCGUUAGAUUCUCACAGGAGCACGAACUCUGCUGUGAACCCCGCAUGCAAGGGAUCUAGGCUGUGCGCUCUUUAUGAGAACCUGAUGCCUGAUGAUCUGUCGCCGCCGUCGCAUUGCAGGAAAACAAGGAACUGGACUGAGGACCUCAUUGCCACCCAUGGGACCCCAGGGAGCACGUAGUUCUCUCUCUGCUUUUCUUAUGAGGAUCGAUGGUGGAGUUUCCGGUGAAUGAAACUCUCUACCUGUUGCAUCCACGUCAAAAUAGACCUCUGAGCCUAAGCUAAGCCAUCAUACCCCCAGUGACCUGCACUUAUACAUCCAGAUGGCCUGAAGCAACUGAAGACCCACAGAAGUGAAAAUAGCCUUAACUGAUGGCAUUCCACCAUUGUGAUUUGUUUCUGCUCCACCCUAACUGAUCAACAUACUUUGUAAUCUCCCCCACCCUUAAGAAGGUUCUUUAUAAUCUCCCCCACCCUUAAGAAGUUUCUUUGUAAUUCUCCCCACCCUUGAGAAUGUACUUUGUGAGAUCCACCCCCUACCACCAAAACAUUGCUCUUAACUCCACCACCUAUCCCAAAACCUAUAAGAGCUAAUGAUAAUCCCACCACCCUUUGCUGACUCCUUUUUUGGACUCAGCCCGCCUGCACCCAGGUGAAAUAAACAGCCAUGUUGCUCACACAAAGCCUGUUUGGUGGUCUCUUCACACGGACACGUGAAACACACUUUACAGACUUACCUCAAUUUUUUUCUCAUGUGAGGUCCAAGAACCCUCUCUUAGGAUCUGGAUCGGGACCCCUUUCUGGUAACAGUAGCAGUGGGGAAGGUGAGUAUUUGAAUUGGGCGCACACUUUGAUGAGACUCUUGCCACCCUGCAGCCCAAUGCCCCUUUAAAAACAGUAUUUCUCUACAGUGGCAUUCAGACAUUUAUAAGAGCCCUUUGGUGGUUGCCAUGAUUGUGUCUGGCAUUUGGUGGCACAGCCAGAGCAACAGGUGCCCCCAUUGUCCAGGACAGCCCCUCACUGCAACACUCAGCUUCCUGCCACCUUGCAAAUGUUCUGUGGGACACUUAUAUGGUGCAAAGCCUGAACAAUUGUUUGUGCCUAGAAAUAGGAAAGAUUUGUGUCUAUUUUCCAUAGAAAACCAAAGUUCUUUUUUUCUCUUUCCUUUUCUUUUUUUUUUUUUUUUUUUUAAGACAGGAUCUUGUUCUGUUAUCCAGGCUGAAGUGCAGUGGCAUGAUCAUAGCUCCUUGCAGCCUCAACCUCCCAGGCUUAAGAGAUUCUCCCACCUCAGCCUCCCAAGUAGCUAGAACUACAGGCACACACCACCAUGCCAGGCUAAUUUUUAAUUUUUUUUGGUAGAGACAGGGUCUCACUAUGUUGCCCAGGCUGGUCUUGAACUCCUGGACACAAGCAAUCCUCCUACCUUGGCCUCCCAAAGUGCUGGGAUUACAGGCAUGAGCCACAACUUCCAGUAAUUGUUUUGGUUUUUGUAGAGAUGAAGUCUCACUAAGUUGCCAGGUCUGGUCUCGAACUCCUGGCCUAAAGCUAUCCUCCUGCCUUGACCUCCCAGUGUACUGGAAUUACAGACGCAAGCCACCAUCCCCCACCCAAAACCAAAGUUUCUUCUGUGUAUAUUUAACACACACUAGAUAAUACUUGCUCCUAGUCUCUUAAAAGAAUUCUCCAGGACUGUCUGGCACAUGUUUUCAAGGGACAGCUGCAGAGGCCAAUGGAUGGAAGCCAGCAUCAGUGGUGUUGUUCUCAGCACCGUGAGGCUCUGCCAUGGUGAACGAUUCUUGGAGAAGUCCCCAAAAAACAAAGAGCCAUCUCCCUUGGUUUGUGUGGCAGCUGCAUUUCUGGAAAAUCCAGUGUCACAUCCCUGUGCCUGUGGGAUCUGGAGCUGCCACGUGCAUGCUCUUUAUUUUGUGCCCUGGAUGUCUGUGGGCACACAGGAGAUUUAAAAAUAAAGAAUUACUUUUA
rnacentral:lncRNA from 10 species